rnacentral:misc_RNA from 1 species
AACGCAUAUUGCACUCUGUGGUAUUCCGCAGAGUAUGCCUGUUUGAGUGUCAGUAUCUGUACUCAAAAACCUUCUGGGUUUUUGGAAUAUGGGCGUGCAGUGGUUAAGCGCUGCUCGCUUUAAAGAUAUUGGUGAGCAGUUUUACAAAGUUUUUAGUUAAGUUGCUCUAACUUGACAAGACCCAUUAAUUUGGUUUUAUUAGAGUUACCAACUUAAUUUAAAAAUAAAACUGUCUCUUAUCCUCAAUAAUUGACGAUUAUAUUUUUAAUCGCUCAAUCCUGACUUUAAAAGUAAUUUUGAAGUCUUGUAUCUUGACCUCAAAUCAGGUAGGACUACCCGCUGAACUUAA